UCCCUGCCUGCUUUCCCAGGACAGACAGCACAGGCAGUCAAGUUCUUUACAGUUUCAACAACUCCAGCCAUCUGGCCUUCUUCAGGAAGAUGAUAAAAACAUCAGUCUGUUUAAAAGUAGUUUUUCAAUGAAAUCGUAUGUUAGUUACUGCAACAUAUUGUCUCCAAAACCCAAAUGAAUGAUGCUAAGAGGGAAAUCAGAGGAGCUAAAAAAACAACUAUAUGGUAAUUACAUGAAUGGGAUAGGUCUAUCUGAAUAUUUGAGGAUAAAAGAGAAAGAGUGACAGACCCUUCAGUAUUUAAUUGUGCAAUGUUUCUAUUUUAACAAUGUGGAAAAUUUUGCAUUCACUGUUGAUUAGAGAGGAGUAAGUCUUUGUAUCCCUCUUCCAGAUCGCAAAAGGUAUCCUAGUGUAAGGCUCACCCGUCCACUCUUGUUCCCCUCCAGUUGUGACUGGGUCAGGUAUGGAGGUGUUGCAAGAUUUGAUUAACAUCUUUUGGAGCAGGCAAGAAACUGAUUGUUUUAGAUAUGAAAAAUCAGUCUCAGACCUCACAGGUGCUGCCCCCUCCCCCAGCACAGGCACAACCUUACUGUGGCUCAUAUCCUCCUUAUAGCUGAUGCCCAAACCCUUUGGUAUGCAGGUCUUAAGCAAUAUUGAGAUUUAAGCCUACAUUGACCAGUGAUCCUGAAUACUUCAGUUUUGGUUGCUUAUCACACUGGACUUUGUUUCAACCCUGCAGCUCCUACAGGGUUUCAACUAGAGUUGCAUAUGGCUCAGUACUGCUGAAAGUCACAAUCAGUAUGCAACAAGGUGCCCCAAACCAAGGGCCCUACAGUUAAUGGCCACUCCUGAAAACAUGGGCCUAUAUAUUUUUUUUAAAUAACAUAAUUUCAUUAGGACAUUUAGAAUAGUUGCUCUUUAUACAGACAGUUCUUUCCACGGUGGGCCUGACCCAUAGCCCCCAGCAGUAGUGUAACUAGGGAAGGAUGAUUGGGGCACCUGCCUUGGGCACCAACUUGGAGGAGGGGGGAAGGGGGCUAGAAAAUAACAGCCACUAAACUACACGCAGAGCACUGUGACAGUUGAA